AACGCCCGGGUAUUAUUGUUGUUUAGUCUAAGUUGCCUUUAUUUCUUUCUGUGGGAUUGAGUGUGUUGUUGGCCCCGCUCUGGAUAACUUGUCUUUGCGUGUCCUCCGUGCCGAGUGCCUGUUGCGUGAGCCUGAAGAGUUUGACUGUCCCUGCCUGUGUCUGUAACUGCCUGUAACUAACGGAACUAGUAAAGGAAGAAAGUGUUGCCCACUGUUUGUCUACCCGCUCUGUCUGGCUGUGCGUGAAUCACGUGGGACGUGGUACCCUUAGCAUCUCUUGUCUAGCCUGCUGGUGUUCCCGAGUGCUGUCCUGACUGUCGGGGAAUUGUGGGCGUCUACGGGAGUGCUGAGGCCCGGCAAGAACAGAUGUUGGUGGAGCAGCAACGAUGGCAGUUGAUGCAGGCGCAGGUGGCAGCAGCACAGCAGCAGCAGCAGCAGUUACAGCAGGAGCAGCAGGAAACUAGUGAUGAAGAGGACUAUUCCUAAGGUUGUGAUAGAGGUGAUGGCAUUAUCCCUCUAUUUGUGAUUAAGAUUGUUGUACCUUCUUCAUGUAUGACAGUGUAUGUUACAAAACACUCACCAUACACUUUUUGGCAGUUUGUUUUGGACACCAUGUAUGUAUCAAGUAUAUUUUAUACAGGUUUGUCAGGAGUAACCAUGACUGCUACCAAUAUUAACAAAAUGCUGUGAUCUAUAAUAGGAACUUCUCAAGUACCACCUCUUCUUGGAAAUAGUGUAAGAUGAGUUGGCAAGAAAGCAAUGCAGUAGUUGAUGGUUUUGAUAGAUGGUGGAAACUGUCCAUCAUACAUAUCAGACCAGGGAUGUGAAAGGUUAGUUUUCAAUGAUCAUUCUUCUUUUGAAAGUUUCCAGGUUAAAUCUUUUAUUCUUGUCGUGUCAAAAGCUAAUUUUUUAUUAACUGAUUUUCAUUAUUAUUGUUUUUAUCAUUAUCAUUAUUAAGUAUUAUUAUUAUGUAUUAUUUUUUUUGCAUAAUGUUUACAUUAUUGGUGUUGUUAUUCAGUUCAAGUUAGAUAUGAUGCAUCAAAUUAUGCAUAGAUGACAUUACAUUUUUUUAUUAUUAAUUAUCUUUUUCCCUAUCAUAUUAUGUGAUUUAUUUUUCUCUCUCUAUCUUGUGAGUAUUGUGUAACAGAAAAUUUUUAUAAUGAGUGUAAUGGUAGUUAUUGCUGUUACAUUAUUAAAAUAUAUUUAUACGAAAA